ACUGAUGGAGGUUGUACUCUCUUUAUCUUAACUGACUGAAACUGUUGCUGACGUGGGUCUGACGUUCUGCAGUGACGUUUUGUCUGAAUGGUUCAUGUUCAGUCUUGUUCACUGACGUGAUGUGAUUUCUCAGAAAGAGUUCAUGCCGGUAGAAGAUGAAAACUUCUCGGGUGCUCUGACAUCUUGAAGAGUGACUCCUCUGAGAUACUCAGACUCAUGGCUUCUGCAGAGAAAUAGAGUCUAACUGACCAGAGUUUGAUUCACAAUCCAAAGCAAAAGGUCAGAGGUCAAGCUGCUCAUCAGACUGUCUAGAGGAUAACUAGUCAACAAGUUUUUAGUUUGAAGGAAACUUCACAAAAUGUCCUUGGCUCCCAAAAAAAGAGGAAGCAAAGACCUGCCUCCUAGUUUGUUGGACUUCAUGGGCAAACGUAUUAACGAUGCAUCUUCCAUCCAGCAGUUUGACAGCAGAAACCAAACACUGAGAGAAAGUGUAAGAAUGUUUCUGAGGAUUUCUAAAGUUGUAAAAGAAAUACAGAAGGCCACAGAUGUACAAAGGACAGCAGGAGGACUGGGGGAGCAGGAGGCCGUUCAUUCACUGGAGGACUGACUUCAGCUUUUGGAUUUUAGCUGCUGUUGCAGGUGGAAGUGCUGUUGUGUAGGAGUUCUAACUACAUAUUUAUAAGUGCUUAAUGUGACCAAUCAGCUACUAGCUCUCAUUGCUGGAAUCUUCAGAGUCGCUCCUGAAGAGGAUAAAAAGGUAUGAUGUUGCCAUCUAAGUCAGCUGAACAGAGUCAAAUGAGAUAAAGAACAAACUCAGAAAUUUUUCCUACAAUUAAAGAGAAUGAAAAUAAAAUCCCCUUCCUGCUCUUCCACCCUGUGAGCCUGUACUGUUCACACUGACUAACAAAUGAAGUGUGUGAAUAAAGGAUCAUCAGACUGUGACCUGGACUGUAUGAAGGACAAUAUGAAUGGACUGUAUGAAGUGUUCCCUUGAAGUCAUUUAAAAAGCAAACAGAGGAUAGUCACGCUCUGUAGAAAUAUAUUAUGAACUAGAGUGGAAACUUUACAGCGACAAUGGAAAUUUGGAGAAAUAUGACUGGAAAAUAAACCAGGGGAACUCUAAUCACAUCUCAGUCACAGGAGACACCCGACUGGCCUGAGGACUGCCACUGCUUCCCUUGUACAGCUUCUUGAUUCCUCAGAAGGAACAUUUCAGAGCACCACAUAAAGAUAUUCAAUAAUCUGACUCAAAGAGACUGAAAAGUGUUUUCUUCUUGGUUGUAAUAGGUGUGUUCCACCACAGGGUGGAGCUGUGCAUAGUAUUUCCACUGUUUUCCUUAAAGUUUCUGUUCCAUGUGGUAUCAUCUCUAUUGAUUACCUGUUUCUGUUCAUUUUCCUUUUAUCUGCUUUAAUAAAUGUCACGCCCUUGGUUAGAGUACA